CCAAUAGCGUAUAUUAAAGUUGUUGCAGUUAAAAAGCUCGUAGUUGAAUUUUGGGUCUGGCCGGGCGGUCCGCCCUCUGGGUGAGCACUGUUCCGACGCCGGGCCUAUCCUUCUGGUGAGUCGGCAUGUCCUUUGUUGGGUGUGUCGGGGAACCAGGACCAUUACCUUGAAAAAAUUAGAGUGUUCAAAGCAGGCGUAUGCUCGGAUACAUUAGCAUGGAAUAAUGAAAUAGGACGCGUGGUGCUAUUUUGUUGGUUUCUAGAACCGCCGUAAUGAUUAAUAGGGAUAGUUGGGGGCAUUAGUAUUCAAUUGUCAGAGGUGAAAUUCUUGGAUUUAUUGAAGACUAACUUCUGCGAAAGCAUUUGCCAAGGAUGUUUUCAUUAAUCAAGAACGAAAGUUAGGGGAUCGAAGACGAUCAGAUACCGUCGUAGUCUUAACCAUAAACUAUGCCGACUAGGAAUCGGGCGAUGUUAUUCUCAUGACUCGCCCGGCGCCUUAUG
rnacentral:rRNA from 2 species